rnacentral:tRNA from 1 species
UAGCUCAGUUGGUAAAGAAUCUGCCUGCAAUGCAGGAGAUCCCUGGUUCAAUUCCUGG